AACAAAAACAACCAUGUCAAUUUCAGCAUGCAGUCAAGUCUGAAGCGUAGGACAACUCGUACACUCCUGUUUCAAAUUGGACAAUGUUUUGUUAUUUGUUUUUACUGUUGAAAUUAGUGGUUAUGUUAAAUUAGAUAAUUAUUCACUUUGAGCGAUGUAUUAUUGUUGACCAUUCGAGAUUCUUUUCUUGCGAACCCGUCUUUAGUUGAAUGUGUGAUUACUGUAUCGUA
rnacentral:lncRNA from 1 species